rnacentral:rRNA from 1 species
GAAAGUAAUAAAGAGCGUAUGGGGGAUGCCUAGGCUCUUGGAGGCGAAGAAGGACGUGGUAAGCUGCGAAAAGUCGCGGGGAUUUGCAAACGAGAAUUGAUCCGCGAAUAUCCGAAUGGGACAACCCGGCAGGCAGAAGGCCUGUCACCCAGCAAUGGGGGCUAACCCUCUGAACUGAAACAUCUAAGUAGGAGGAGGAGAAGAAAGAAACAUCGAUUUCCAAAGUAGCGGCGAGCGAAAUGGAAGGAGCCCAAACCGGUAUUGUUACGGCAAUGCCGGGGUUAUAGGACUGCGAGAUUCGAAGGACAAAGAACUGGAAAGAUUUGGAAAAGUCGACCAUAGAGAGUGAAAGUCUCGUACAGGUAAUUAAGUUCAAAGAUAGCAGUAUCCUGAGUAUGGCGGGACACGAGGAAUCCAGUCAGAAUUUGCCGGGACCACCCGGUAAGGCUAAAUACUCCCAAGAGACCGAUAGUGAACCAGUACUGUGAAGGAAAGGUGAAAAGAACCCCGAACAGGGGAGUGAAAAAGAACCUGAAACCAUACGCUUACAACCUGUCGGAGCGGCUUCGUGCCGUGACGGCGUGCCUAUUGAAUAAUGAGCCUACGAGUUACUAAUCACUGGCGAGGUUAAGUGCUAGGAAGCACGGAGCCGAAGCGAAAGCGAGUCUGAACAGGGCGGCCAGUCAGUGGUUGUAGACGCGAAACCUUGCGAUCUACCCUUGAGCAGGAUGAAGGUCGGGUAACACCGACUGGAGGUCCGAACGAAUAAGCGUUGAAAAGCUUCUCGAUGACUUGAGGGUAGGGGUGAAAGGCUAAUCAAGCUGGGAAAUAGCUCGUACUCCCCGAAAUGCCUUUUGGGGCAGCGUUGUAAUAAAGAGUCUACUGGAGGUAGAGCUACUGAUUGGAUGCGGGGGCUUCACCGCCUACCAAAUCCUGACAAACUCCGAAUGCCAGUAGUAUGAUUUACAGCAGUGAGUGACUGGGUGCUAAUGUCCAGUCGCAAAAGAGGAACAACUCAGACCAGCAACUAAGGUCCCGAAGAAUAUGCUAAGUUGAUCUAACGAUGUUUUGUUGCAGAGACAGCUAGGAUGUUAGCUUGGAAGCAGCUAUUCAUUCAAAGAGUGCGUAACAGCUCACUAGUCGAGCGACAGAGCGUGGAUAAUAAACGGGCAUCAAGCAUAUCACCGAAGUUCUGGGCGCGAGAGCGCGGUAGGGGAGCAUUCCAUUCAGCGUCGAAGCAGUUUCGUGAGGAAUUGUGGAGCGUAUGGAAAAGCAAAUGUAGGCAUGAGUAACGAUAAUGCGGGAGAGUAACCCGCACACCGCAAGACCAAGGUUUCCUGAUCAACGCUAAUCGGAUCAGGGUUAGUCGGGUCCUAAGGGUAAGCCGAACGGCGAUCUCGAUGGAUAAUCGGUUAAUAUUCCGAUACUAACAUAUACCUCGAUGGAGAGACGAAGGAACGUAAGUGCCGCCACCUGACGGAAUAGGUGGUUAAAGGGCGUAGGUAUAGGGGCAGAUUAAGAGUUAGUCCUUGCUGAAACCUGACAGUACAGAGAGCCUACGGGCAAUUUGAUAGUGCACCCAAGUCGACUUCCGAGAAAAUCUUCUAAGUUAUAGUAUAUGUUACCCGUACCGUAAACCGACACAGGUGGUCGAGGAGAGUAUCCUAAGGUGCUCGAGUGAAUCACGGUUAAGGAACUAGGCAAAUUAACCCCGUAACUUCGGGAAAAGGGGUCCCUAUGAAAGUAGGGCGCAGCGAAGAGGUCCAGGCGACUGUUUAUCAAAAACACAGGGCUCUGCAAAUUCGAAAGAAGACGUAUAGGGCCUGACACCUGCCCGGUGCUGGAAGGUUAAGAGGGGAUGUCAUCGCAAGAGAAGCAUUGAAUCGAAGCCCCAGUAAACGGCGGCCGUAACUAUAACGGUCCUAAGGUAGCGAAAUUCCUUGUCGGGUAAGUUCCGACCUG